GGCCGGGUGGCCUAAUGGUAAGGCGUCAGAUUUCGGUCUCUUGGAUUGAAUCCUCUGAAAAUUGCGGGUUCGAAUCCCGUCUUGGUCG